rnacentral:rRNA from 1 species
GACGAACGCUGGCGGCGUGCCUAAUACAUGCCAGUUGAGCGAUGAAGAUUGGUGCUUGCCCCAAUUUGAAGAGCAGCGAACGGGUGAGUAACGCGUGGGUAAUCUGCCUUUGAGCGGGGGACAACAUUUGGAAACGAAUGCUAAUACCGCAUAACAACUUUAAACAUAAGUUUUAAGUUUGAAAGAUGCAAUUGCAUCACUCAAAGAUGAUCCCGCGUUGUAUUAGCUAGUUGGUGAGGUAAAGGCUCACCAAGGCGAUGAUACAUAGCCGACCUGAGAGGGUGGUCGGCCACAAUGGGACCGAGACACGGCCCAAACUCCUUCGGGAGGCAGCAGUAGGGAAUCUUCGGCAAUGGGCGAAAGUCUGGCCGAGCAACGCCGCGUGAGUGAAGAAGGGUUUCGGGUCGUAAAACUCUGUUGGUAGAGAAGAACGUUGGUGAGAGUGGAAAGCUCAUCAAGUGACGGUAACUACACAGAAAGGGACGGCUAACUACGUG